ACCAGAGCCCCGUAGAUCUGUCCCGGUAGAUUCAGGGCAUUACCCAUCGAGCCCCAGGUUCGAUCGUCCAGUGUAGAUCAGGUCAUUACCCACAGAGCCCCAGGUUAGAUCUGUCCAGUGUAGAUCAGGUCAUUACCCACAGAGCCCCAGGUUAGAUCUGUCCAGUGUAGAUCAGGUUAUUGCCCACAGGAGCCCCAGGGUUAGAAUGUCCAGUGUAGAUAGUGUUCUUACCCACGAGCCCCAAGGGUUACGAU
rnacentral:lncRNA from 1 species